rnacentral:rRNA from 1 species
GGAGCAGGCGGCACUAAGGGUCUGUGGUGAAAGAUCGAAGCUUAACUUCGGUAAGCCGUGGAAACCGUAGAGCUAGAGUGUGUGAGAGGAUCGUGGAAUUCCAUGUGUAGCGGUGAAAUGCGUAGAUAUAUGGAGGAACACCAGUGGCGAAGGCGACUUACUGGGCCGUAACUGACGCUGAGGCGCGAAAGCGUGGGGAGCGAACA